UACGUAGGGUGCAAGCGUUGUCCGGAAUCAUUGGGCGUAAAGCGCGCGUAGGCGGCCCGGUAAGUCCGCUGUGAAAGUCAAAGGCUCAACCUUUGAAUGUCAGCGGAUACUGCCGGGCUAGAGUCCGGAAGAGGCGAGUGGAACUCCUGGUGUAGCGGUGGAAUGCGCAGAUAUCAGGAAGAACACCAACGGCGAAGGCAGCUCGCUGGGACGGAACUGACGCUGAGGCGCGAAAGCGUGGGGAGCGAACAGG
rnacentral:rRNA from 1 species